UAAGGAGAGAGGCGCCCAAGGUGAGGCUGAUGACUGGGAUGAAGUCGUAACAAGGUAGCCCUACCGGAAGGUGGGGCUGGAUCACCUCCUUUUAAGGACAAAGAUGACUGUUUUUACGGUCAUACUAGGUUGGGCAAGUGUUUUAUAGUUAGUCUCAUUCUGUCUCUUUUGCAUUGUCAAGUGGUGUUUUCUUUACAUUAGAGAAUUGUGAUUAAGUAUGUUAUGUAAAUAAUGGUAUCAAGUAUUUUCACAUAUAAUGGUAGACGUUUAAGAAUACAGUUUAUGGUGAAAAGUUAACUUGCAUGGAUCAAUAAUUUACAGGCCAAGUUAUUAAGAGCUAUUGGUGGAUGCCUUGGCAUUGACAGGCGAUGAAGGAUGCGUUUACCUGCAGUAAACCUCGGCGAGUUGGUAUAAGCUAUGACCCGGGGGUGUCCGAAUGGGGAAACCCGAUAGAAGUAAUAUUCUAUCAUUAUACGUUGAAUACAUAGGCGUAUAAGGCAACACCUGCUGAACUGAAACAUCUUAGUAAGCAGAGGAAAAGAAAUCAAAGAGAUUCCCUGUGUAGCGGCGAGCGAAAGGGGAGGAGCCUAAACCGUAUUUUUAAUACGGGGUUGUAGGGUCGACAAUAUGGGAUCUGGAGUCUUAGCUGAAUCUUUCUGGAAAGUUAAGCGAUACAGGGUGAUAGCCCCGUAAGCGAAAAGACAAAAGACCUUAGUCGAUACCUGAGUAGAACCAGACACGUGAAACCUGGUUUGAAUCUGGGGAGACCACUCUCCAAGGCUAAAUACUAGUCGAUGACCUAUAGCGAACCAGUACUGUGAAGGAAAGGUGAAAAGAACCCUUGUUAAGGGAGUGAAAUAGAAUCUGAAACCAGUAGCUUAUAAGCGGUCGAAGGCCUAUGGCUUCUUUUAGGAGUCACGGCUGACGGCGUGC
rnacentral:misc_RNA from 1 species